rnacentral:sRNA from 1 species
AGCAGCCGCGGUAAUUCCAGCUCCAAUAGCGUAUAUUAAAGUUGUUGCAGUUAAAAAAGCUCGUAGUUGAAUUUCGGGACCAAUAUGUUGGUCGUGCCUCGGUACGCACUGGCAUUAUUGGUUUCUCCCUUCUGACGAACUACGAUGCCAUUAAUUUGGUGUCGUAGGGAAUCAGGACUGUUACUUUGAAAAAAUUAGAGUGUUUAAAGCAGGCUCGCGCUUGAAUACAUUAGCAUGGAAUAAUGAAAUAGGACGUUUGAUUCUAUUUUGUUGGUUUCUAGGAUCGACGUAAUGAUUAAUAGGGAUAGGUUGGGGGCAUUAGUAUUCAAUUGUCAGAGGUGAAAUUCUUGGAUUUAUUGAAGACU